rnacentral:misc_RNA from 1 species
AAGUCGUAACAAGGUUUCCGUAGGUGAACCUGCGGAAGGAUCAUUAACGAUUGCGGUUUACCCCGUUUUCUACCCAUGUCUACGCGUACCACUUGUUUCCUCGGGGGGCUUGCCCCCCGCUAGGACUCUUUAAUCAACCUUUUGUAAUAGCAGUCAGCGUCUGAAAUAACCUUAAUUAUUAAAACUUUCAACAAUGGAUCUCUUGGUUCUG